CGGUGUUUUGCUUCAACAGUGAUUGAACGAGCAUCG
rfam:Ixodes scapularis strain Wikel colony gcontig_1107728759078, whole genome shotgun sequence.